AGCCAGGGGAUGGGGGACGCUCCUCCCUCACCCCCCUGGGGCCUGGGGACAGGGGUGGUGAGGAGGACCAAGUCCUGCAGUUGUGCCCACAAGGCAGAACUAUGACAAAACCGCUCGUGACUAAAGGCUUGUCCGGGCCGAACACAGCCUGUUCCCAACCAGAGGAGUGGAAGUCAGGUCCCCCGGGGUGUGCUUUAAGGAAGCCCCUCUCCUAGAACACACCUUGUCGGAUGGGCCCCAACCCAAGUCAGUCAUCAUGACGCCCCAGCUCAGAAUAAACGGGGUUCCUUGGGCUGGGGGACCUCAGCGCUGAGCCACAGCCCCCCAACUCGGGGCACAGUCACCAGAUCCAGGCCUCGGCCGGAGCAGGGACAGCCCCUCCCGCAGGGCAGAGACGUGCCGAUGGCAGGUCUUCACCCCGCCAAUCAAAAGCUACACGAGGGGUCGCGCCCAGGUUCCACGCACAUCGAGCCGUCCGAGCACAUCCUGGCUGAUGCAGACGAGUGGCAGGAACUGGCCAGCGCCCAAGGGCCGCUCCCCGAAGCCAGGCCGCGGCGCCUCCACGGACCACGGGUGGGUGGCGGAGGGCUCAGCGCAGGAGCUGGGGGCGGAGGCGGACUUGGCCGCAGCCGGGCGGGAGCACGUGCCGGGGCUCGCCGGUCUCCCCGCUCCGAGGACAAAGUCCGUUACCUCCCGCUCCGCGACUCUGGCACCGGGCACCAGGCGCCGGGAGCGAGGCGGGCACGGCCCCGCGCGCGACUCAGACCCGGCUCCGGACCCCGAUCUGACGCCAGGCGUGGCCUCCGGCGACCCCUGUGUUCACUCACCAUUGUGGUUGACCCAGGUCGGCUUCAGGAGCUUCAUUGUUCGGCCGCCGCCGGGCUGAGGCGAGAGCCGCGUCCUUCAACGCGCGCGGGCCAUGGGGCCGCCGCCGCCGCUUUCUCCCGCGCCGCCCGCCCUCCAGCCGCCGCCCGCCCCGCGCCCUCAGUGCCGCCAGGCCAUCGCCGGCUCGCGCCCCAGGCCGCCGCCACAGCCGCCCCCCGCGCUCGGCCGCCACCGCUGCCGCCACAGCCGCAUCCCCUGCGCCGCUCCUCCUCCGGCAGCUCCCGGGCAACGCCGGAAGUCACGGCGCGCACCUGCCAAAUCGCCCCGGCGGGAAACCGCUCCCUGCGCGGACCGGGCCGCCCUGGCUCCUGUGCGGGUCGGGGCAGCGGAGGGAGGCUCCGCUUUGGGUCCAGCCCGGUCCCAGCGAUGGGUGAAGGGGAGGGUCUGCUGGGACCGUGGCUGGCAAGCGGGGCCUCGAGUGGCAGCUUAGGCCGGUGGUGCCGCACCGGGUCGGAGUAUAGCGUGGACCGCCUCUCCAGCUCUACGUCGCUGGCCGGAACGCGAUCGCGUGAAGCGACGGGACUGCCGGACCGUAGCGCGAGGCACCGUGGGCCGGACCGCCGAGGUGCGCGCCCGGAAGCAGCCGGCGGCUGCCUUGGAAGCCAUGGCCACCACGGUUUUGGGAGCUGCCGCGCGUGCUCUUCGUUCGCCGUGCUGAGCAGAACCUCUGAGAAAGAAGAAGAAGGUGGAUCCUAAAAAAGACCAAGCUGUAAAGGACCGCUUGAAAAAGAGGAUCCGAAGACUAGAAAAGGCUAGCCAGGAGCUAAUUCCCAUUGAAGAUUUUAUUAUCCCUGUGAAGUUCAUGGAUAAAGUGAGUCACCUCUCACCAAAGGCAGUCUCUGCCUGGGAAAGAGGAAGUGCUACUAUAAUCUCAGGAUCACUGUCUCCUAUUUCCACAUAAAGCAAAUGGCCCCGGUUCCUAGUGUCAGCUGCAGCUGCCACCACAUUCAACAUGCCAUUCCUGAAUUUGUCCCUUUCUUUUCUGAGUUCCAUGUCUGGCAGGGAGGAUGCCUGGGCCAUAUGCAGUCCCCGACUCUGUGGUCAGUGAGGGCAGUGCUCCCAGCUUCACUUUGGAUUUGUGU